GUAUAAGAACUGAUUUUGAGGGAUUUGAAUAGGUAAUGACUUUGUAAAAGCUUUGCAAAGUUGAUAUUAUUUUUGGUGACUUUGAUUUUUGGAAAAUAAAAUAGAGUUGACGUUUUGGAUGAUUUCAAGAGUUUGGUAAUAGAUCUAUAGAUAAUUUUUUUUAGAUUUGUGGUUGUAGUUGUGUAAGAUGUGUGCUGUGAAUUUAGAUUUGAUCAAAUAGCUAGAUUGAAAGGCAUGAAGGUUUUUAUGGAUUAUGGUCUCGGACUUCAAGUUUUUAAGGACUAGUGAGAGUUUUUUAGGUAUUUGUCAAUGUGCCAAUUAGAUUGAGGCAAUAUUUAUCAUAGAGGUGGUCAAUUUGAUUCCUAAAAAGUGUGUAAAAUUUAAAAUCAAAAUAACAAUUCAAUUAUGAGUAAUUAGCUCUAGAAGAUUGGCAUUAAGAUCAGAGAAUGAGGCUCGCCAAUAUUUGAGUACAUAUUUGAGACUAUUGUCUAUUUGGUAAUUUUGUUCAUCUUCAAUUUUUUUGUACUUAUAGUUAACUUAAUUAGUGAAGAAUAUAAAAAAUUUGAUUUGAAAUCAAUAGUUCAAAUAUUAGUUAUUGAAUUUCAAAAUCUAUUUUAAAGUUUUUAGAAUUUUAUUUGAGAUUUAAUAUUUGAUUAAGAUUUGAUUUAGGAUUAAGAUUAGGAUUUGAUUUGAUUUAUGAUUUGAUUUGAAUUAGGAUGUGAUUUGAAUUAGAAUUUAAUUGGAAUUAGAAUUUGGUUAGGAUUAGAAUUUGAUUAGGAUUAGGAUUUGGUUAGAAUUAGGAUUUGAUUAGGAUUUAGGAUUUGGUCUAAGAUUUGAUUAAGGUUCUUGAUUUUUAUUUUUAGUAUUUAAAGAUAUAUUUUUUAUAUUUUUAGGAUUAAUUUUUUAUAUAUGUAUUUCUUUAAGGUUAAUUUAUGAUUUUUUCAUGUUUCUUUUUCAAUAUCUUUAAGA
rnacentral:lncRNA from 1 species